rnacentral:rRNA from 1 species
AUUGAACGCUGGCGGCAUGCUUUACACAUGCAAGUCGAACGGCAGCGCGGGCUUCGGCCUGGCGGCGAGUGGCGAACGGGUGAGUAAUGCAUCGGAACGUGCCCAGUAGUGGGGAUAGCCCGGCGAAAGCCGGAUUAAUACCGCAUACGACCUGAGGGUGAAAGCGGGGGGCCGAAAGGCCUCGCGCUAUUGGAGCGGCCGAUGUCGGAUUAGCUAGUUGGUGGGGUAAAGGCUUACCAAGGCGACGAUCCGUAGCUGGUCUGAGAGGACGACCAGCCACACUGGGACUGAGACACGGCCCAGACUCCUACGGGAGGCAGCAGUGGGGAAUUUUGGACAAUGGGGGCAACCCUGAUCCAGCCAUGCCGCGUGCGGGAAGAAGGCCUUCGGGUUGUAAACCGCUUUUGUUCGGGAAGAAAUCCUCUGGGCUAAUACCCCGGGGGGAUGACGGUACCGGAAGAAUAAGCACCGGCUAACUACGUG